UAACCUGCCCUUGACUCACCAGGACUCCUCAGCUCAGCUUCUCAAAAUGAGGCUCCCUGCUCAGCUCCUGGGGCUGCUGCUGCUCUGGAUCCCUGGAUUCAGUGGGGAUGUUGUUAUGACCCAGACUCCUCUCUCUGAGCCCAUCACCCCUGGACAGCCAGCCUCCAUCUCCUGCAGGAAGCAGCAGGGAUACAGUGAGGAUGCAGUUUCCACUCAACCUGCCUGAUACCCUUGACUCCCUGCCUUCAUCUUGGGAAGGAUCAGAGUUGGAAAAGUCACUCAUAUGUCAUGAAGAGUGUAGAAGCUUGUGCCAUGGUGAUGAAGGUGAUUCCUAGAUAAUAGAGCUCCUGGUGAAUGUAACUAAAAUCCAAAGGUCCUAUUUGUGAUGAGUAUUAAAUUUAUAUGUGAAUAUUUAUUUAUGUAGAAGAAAAAUUUUGUAAAUUUAAAAAGAAUGCUGUGAAUAGGUAAUUUUUAAAUAUUUGGAAUCCCAGAAAGGUGAAAGAAGCAAUUGUGGUGAAGGGAAACUAUUAUUAAAACCAGACAGUUAGUUGUCCUUGUUUGGAGAAACCACUGAAGAUGCUGCUCACAAAGAGCAAUCACUCAGAGAGACGUGGAGGGUGUAAAAGGCAGAUGCAAGGAGGCAUGAAUUAGUGGGUGAAUGUGCACUAAUACUGGCUGCACAAAUGACCUUGUACAGAUGGAGCUGUACAUAAAACUGGAGAGCUUGAAAAGCAGUGUGUUGGCAGAAAAAAGGGAAAUAAAUGUAAUUAAAAUUAUACUGUUUCAGAGUGGAAAAUGUCAUUCCCCUGGCUGUGGGAAUGGAAACCAGAGCUUCUGCCCCAGAGGCACCUGCUCCACCACUGACCAAUGUCCCCCAGCAUACUCAAGACCAACCCUGAGCCAGAGCCACACAGGAAGCCACUGCCUGAUUCCUCACUCACAGAAAGGCAGGGUGGUGGGGAGGGUAAAAUGCUAAUGGCUUAGCUGCUGGGGUGGGGCAAUAUUUUACACAAAAUUAUACAAUACAUGCAGAGAAACAGUAAAAAGUUAAAAAAAAAAAACUGAUGGCAAAGCUGUAUUGUCUAUUCGCCACACAAAAUAAUGUUGUUUUCCUGGAUAACAUAAACAUGCAUGUACCUGGUAUAAUGUUAGCAUCACAGAAAAAAAGGUCUAUGGCUGGAAGUGUUGAGUAGUUCCUGAAUUGUCCAUGAAGUGUAAGAGUGCUAAUGAGCUGACAUAUCUCAUAAAAUAAAGAGUAUCUUUUGUUUUCUCUUU